rnacentral:lncRNA from 1 species
GGAAGCCCUGUCUCAGGGCUAUUUGUUCCCGGAAAUCCUGGCACCUCACUAGGAAGCUAAAGCUUUUGAGAGUUGGCCAUUCAGAGCAUCAUGGAUUCCAAGGACGAGUUGACCAACCGGGCCUAGGAAGCCUUAACAGUCGGCUGCGGAACUUUUCUCUCUAAAUUCUGACAAUAAACUUCUAGAAACCAUCUGCAUUCCUUGGCUCAUGGCUCGUCUUCAAAUCCAACCUCUGCUUCUGUGGUCAUCGCGUCUCCUUCUCUGACUCUGACUCCCUUCCUUCCUUCACUGAUGAGGACCCUUGCAACUGCACUGGGCCCACCGAGAUGAUCCAGGAUAAUCUCCCCAUCUCAAGAUCUUUAACUUAAUUACAUCUGAAAAGUCACUUUCGCCACUUAAGGGAGAAGAGCCUACACAGUAGAGAUGAG